rnacentral:misc_RNA from 1 species
GCCAUAUAGUUUUCAGGUCUUCUUUGUUUCAACAUGCAAGAAGACAUGCAAUGGAUUGGAAGUUUAAUUUUGAUUUCUGGAAUGCGAGUAAUUCUAUUUGUUAUGAGAUGCAGUUUGUAUCUUUCACUUUGCAUAUCACUGAAAAUUAUGUGGAAAACAUUAUGUCCCGUAGCUAGUAAAAUGCUAUAUCAUUCUGUUUAUUCUCUUUCUGCAGGAAAGGCUCCGUAU